AGUAACAAGCAAUUAUUGGUGCUCCACCAGCUACUGGUCGGACAUGACGCAUCUUUGAGUAUUUUUCUCACAGAGCUUGAGUAGCGUUGAGGACUUGAAGAACCAGACUGGAGGUGACUGCAACAGUUACAGCUGGAAUAGUCAAUCCGUCGACCUUUGUUAUAGCAAACUGAAGGAUGCAACUGUUCUGAGCUAUGCCGGACCUGAGGGGAGCAGUGUAAACACAGUCAAUCAGCUUGGUGCCUGUAAUGUGCAGCCUUUGCAGAAAAAGGUUGCUGAUGGAACUGAUUAGGUAAAUGAUCAUCCCCAUCACAUGAAGAUGCACUGCCAUCGUAAGCAUAGUAACUUCUGUGUGUUGGAGAUUUGAUCAUAUUUCUGAGAUUAACAGGAGGCUCAGAGUUUUCUAACGUAUCCAUAGAGCUUAUACGGUCAAAACCUGAGUGAAUCUCUUUUUGAAAUUGCUCAAACUACUCAUGAUCAGUAGACAUCAAAGUGUCUGUUAUGAUGCUUUCAUUCAAAAGACUUUGGUACAUAUCGGAGCCUACAGAUAACUGCUUCUCAAUGCCAUCACGGCCUAAUUCUUCUCUGUGGUUGAUACAUUCAAAUGAUCCGCAAGGAAGUUGUCUUCAUCCAGUUCCAGUUGUUCUGUCGCUUCAAGGGCUAAAACCUUCCGCGUCUUGUUUGGUUUCAAGGGUUGGACAUCCAGUGCCUUUUUCCAGCUCCAGUUGCUCUCUCUCUUCAUUGGCUGAACCUUCUGCAUCUUCUUUGGCUCCAACGACUGAACUUCCCGACUCAUGACAAAUUUGGAUGAAGGAUCUUCAUUCUCAAGACAGGUAAGACCAGAAGAGCUCGGAAGCUCAUAGGGGGAAUUUAUCUGUCGAGGUAGAUCCUUGUUACAGUCUUCAGCACCCCCUUGAUCGGACUGCUUCCACUCGUUCAGUGAAGCAUCUCCAUUCGAAGGAGAAGCUUAUUCACUUGCGCUGCUUAUUUCUUUCUGAUCAAGUCCGUUGUUCCUGUUCUUAGCUGCAUCCAAGUUAAAAUUUGUGAGGAAGUCAUUUCAACUUGCACCAUAAUCACUUUAACUUUUUUGAGAAUUAAUCACUCAUGUAAAAUUUAGUUAUUUAAUUCUAUUGGCG